CUAAUAUGGAGGAAAUGGUUUCGAGAAAGAAAAAAGAAAAAACGGAGUCCUUGAUUAGUUUUGGGGAAGGCAAAAUAAUAUAAUGUGAAGAGUAAAGGAUUCAGAUCCAGGAAACCCCAUAACUUUUAUACUGGGCGCAGUGGCUCACACCUAUAACCCUAGCACUUUGGGAAGCCAAGAUGGGAGGAUUAUUUGAGGCCAGGAGUUCGCGACCAGCCUGAGCAACACAGCAAGAUCCUGUCUCUGCAAAACAAAUUUAAAACUAGCCAGGUGUGGUGGCUCAUGCCUGUUGCCCUAACUACUCAGACUGAGGCAGAGGAUUGCUUCAACCCAGGAAUUUGAGGUUGCAGUGAGCUAAGAUCAUGUCACUGCACUCCAGACUGAGCAACAGAGUGAGACUUUAUCAAAAAAAAAAAAAAAAAAAAGAUUUUUAAAAUUGAAAUUGCUUUGUCAAAGAAUGCGUUUAAACUUUUAAGAUGCAUUGUCAGAUUAUUUUUUCCCUAAUGAAGUAAUUUCUAUUCCUAUCAGCUGUUUAUGUUCCUGCCUACUCACCAUCACUAGAUAUAAUUGAUUUUCAGUUUUUGCCAAUCUGAGGAAUAAAAUAUGACCCUCAUAUGUCAAAUUUAUGGUUUAUUUUCAAGGGUUUUGGGAUUCUGAUCAAAUUUUGAUACUUUCAUAUAAAAUUUGGCCUUUAAAUCACAUCUUGUCUUCUCUGCUUUCCACCCUCUUUUAUGUUGUUUCUUGGCUUCUGGCCACAUGACUACAAUCUCCACUUCUGUAUUCACAUCACCUUCUGUCAUUUUUGACCUUCUUGCCUCCGUCUUAUAAGGAUCCUUGUAAUUAAUUAUGUUGGGCCCACUGAGAUAAUCCAGGAUAUUCUUCCUACUCAAGUUCCUCAAUUUAAUCACAUCUGCAAAAACUGCCUUUUGCUAUAGAACAAUGACAGGAGAUUAGAAUGUAGAUAUAUUUGGGGGACCAUUAUUCAGCUUAACACAAUACUUCCCCCUUCACCAGGUGGAGCUCAUUUUCCCACCUUCCUUGAGUGUGGGCUGGACUUAGUGACUAAAACUUCCAAAGAACAGAGUAUGGAAAGGGAGGUGGAGAGUAACUUCAUAGUACAGAAACCUGGAAACACUAUCUUGGCCAGGUGGUCAAAGUUAAUAUCAUCAAGUCAUGUUGCUAUCAUAUACUCCCAAUAUACUGUGAUGAGAAGGGCAAUUCACGUGUGUGGUAUUCUCAAAACCUAUAAUCCAAUCUAGUCUAAACAUGAAAAAAAAAAAAUCAAACUAAAAUUAAAGGACAGUCUAUAAAACACCUGAUCAGUAUUCCUCAAAAUUAUCAAUGUCAUGGGAAACAAGGAUUGAAAUACUGUAACAGACCAGAGGAAACUAAGGAAACUUAACUGAUGACUGAAUGCAGUGUGCUGUAUUAAACUGGAUCCUGGAAUAGAAAAUAGACAUUAGUGGAAAAACUGAAAUAUGAAUAGUCUCAGGUUUAAUAGUAAUGUACCAUUAUUACUUUCUUAGUUUUGACAAAUGUACCAUGGUUAUGCAAGAUGCUAACAAUAGGGAAAAAUAAGGAGUAUUUGGGACCUCCCUGUACUAUCCUUAUGCCCUUACUUGAAAAUUAUUUCAGCAAUAGAAGUUUAUUUAAAAUAUUGUGAAGGGCCUGAGUAUUUUUAAAUCAACUGCGGUGACUCUCUUGUGUAUUUGUGUCCAAAUGAGUUUUUCUGCAUCAAAUUUUAUCUCCUCUCCUUGCAGAAGAAAGAGAAUUAGCCCU